GUUUACUAAACAAUACGGGGAUAUUUGAGGGAAGCAAGCCUUAGCGGUGGGGUGUGUCAGCUAAGGUAAUGAGCUAUAACAUAUAUACUGUAUGUGGAAAUGACAUAUGUGUGUGUGUAUCUCAGCCAGUGAUUCUCAGUUGUUUUUAGCCUACAACUUCCAGAAAUCCCAGCCAGUUUACCAGCUGUUAGGAUUUCUGGGAGUUGAAGGUCAAAACUUCUGGGGACCCCGGGUGGAGAAUCAAUGAUCUAAGCAGUGAAACCCUAAAGAUCUAAAAUUAAGAAAAGAUAUCAAAAAGAUGAGAGAUCUUCCAACUAUUGUCCACUAAAACUGAAAUUUGCACAACUGCUUUCCAUAUACCACUAUUAGUCACAGUGUAAACCAUGAUGAAAAAAGCAGUAUUUUCCCAUUGAGGCUAUAUUGAGGUUUGAGGGACUGGAAAAUGCAUUCUCAUCAAAUUAUAUCCUGACAAUAGAAUUCCUGGGAGGACAGGGUCUUUUGCUCUCUUAAACAUCACUGGAAACGCAUGACACUAAAAUCUUCUGGUACUUACAAGAGUUUAGUGUAAUAAAAAAGAGAAUUGUAACCUGGCAUUACAGAAGAUUUGAAGGAUGAAAUGCCCAUCAGAAAAAAAGGACUGGAUGACCCUGGGCAAGACACACUUUCUCAGUUUAAGAGGAAGGUGAAGGCAUACACAAACCCCUUUGAAUUAGUCCUGCAAAGAAAACCCUGUAAUAGAUUCAUUUUAGGAUCACUGCUAGUUGGAAAUGACUUGAAGGAAUACAACAGACAAGAGAAAUUGCUAAAGCAGCAAUGAAAGAAAGGGCUGAAAGAAUCAGAAAUAUCUGAGAAAUUAUUUGCAGCUGCCACCUAAUUUGGAACAGCAAGACAUAGAGAUGAAGAAUGAGACAUGUCGAAUCACAUUGUUCCCCUGGUUUUAAAGUCUCCUAUUUCGAUACGUAUCCAGUGAAGAAACUACCUCAGGAUAUAUAUUCUUCACCACCACCACAUCACAUGCCCCUAGUAAAAAGAUUUUUUUCCAACAAGGCAGCCAUAGAACAUAAAGUCCAAGAGGUUUACAGACAAGAUACUCCAAUGGCAACUAUAGUCGCAAGGUAUGAAAUACAGUAAACGCUAUUUUAAGUGAUCAUAUAUUUUAUUAUCUAGGCCUAAAUACUUAAUAGCACCAGGUUCUAUCUGUUUUUAUAAGGUAAGCAGGGGUGGGAGACUGUCAAUGAAUAUCAGGUGCUGCAGACUAUAUUUCAAAAGAAAGAAGUGGCAAAAUCAGCUCCUACAACAAAUGUUUGCUGUAGAUGACAGGCACCUUGAAGGCCCAUACAAACAUUUGAAUUCCAGUUCCUUAGUCACUUUGUAUCCUACAUUUACUUGUAUGUUUAGCAUCCCCCUUCCUCAAUAUUCAGAUUUGGCGGGUUCACCUGAUCCGCACUGAGAACCUUCAGGCAAGAAUUUAUUUGUUUGGAUGUUACACUUAUGUCAAAGAAGUCAGCAAACCUGAGAAUAUGGCUAUCCACAAUUGUUCUUCCUUACCUAUUUUGUUUCUAUUUCUUUGCUACAUAUUGCUCUUUCUUCAGGCAACUCAUUAUCUCUUCACCCAUUAUAUAUUUAGGGAUGUAGCCAUGUCACAGAGAAGCUACCACCCAUAUAGUUAAUUAAAAUGCCUUUUAUAUAAAAGCUCUGGAAAGUUUCUACCUGGUACAAUGCAAGGUUCCAAAAUAUGAAACCUUCGUGGCCAGGAAAUAAUCAGGUCACACUUUCUUAUGCAGUGUUCUCUUCAGAGUAGAACACCCUGUGAGAUUUAUACUUGUCAAGACACUGGAAAUGGUGGAACGAAAUAGAAUCCCAAAUAUGACACUCUAGGGCAUUUUUGUGCUGAAGAGAACCACUGUAAAAGACAAAAGAAAACCUGACGGAAGACCGAACUAAAGGUUUUUGGAACAGGAGGGAAACUGUAAAUCAAACUGUAAACCUACCAAAGAAAGAAGGAAAAAGUGUAAAUCCACUGACUCCUUCAUUUUAAAAAAUAUGUUUCAACUAGUGAACGAUAUACUUGGACAUAAGUGUUAAUUCUCCCUCAGUUUUUUUGCAUAUGCAAUCCUCUGUAAACUCAACUGUCACUUCUUCCAUCUCAGCACAUCAAAUUGGAAAUAUCCUUCCUUGACAGAAGAGGACUAAUAAAUACUUAUUUAACUGUAGUAUUUAUUUAUCGGGCUCAUUAAGUUCCCCAUUGACUGGGACACCAAAGUUAUUCUCAAUAAUCUGAAUUCAUCUCCAAUUUUAUGUAUGCAAGGAAACAGAAAAGAGUGUUUGGAAGCUCUUGCAUGAGCUGCUGCAGAACAUUAUUGACUUCUUAUCCUGCGGGAUUCGAGAGUGUUGUUGUUUAUUCGUUCAGUCGCUUCUGACUCUCCGUGACCUCAUGGACCAGCCCAUGCCAGAGCUGUUUUAAAGAGCUAUUAUUUCAAAACUGCACAAAAGGAUUACUUCGAUAUACUUUAUAAUGAAUUUAUAUUCUAGGAAUCAGUUUACAUGUGAUCCUUAGAGUCACAUGAAAUAUUUUUAUAAGAGAAACAGCAUCAUAGGACAUAGGUUUCAGCACAGGGAAUAGAGGAAGGUGUUUCUCUCAUCCUCAGGAAGCCAUUUUAUUUGAUAAACUCAUCCUGGUCAAGUUAUUUUUUGUUCUGUAUCACGGGAAAUACCGGUAUCUUUCCUCAUACAAGAUGAAAAGAGGUUUGAAGAAACAAAAAGAAAAAUAGCAAUUGAGAAAAGAAACAAUAAAACACACACUCACAAAAAAACCCUCUUCCAUUACAGUUUACCUGAAUUGUAUGGAACAGAAUGAAACCUAAUCAGCUAACCCUUUCCCACAAAUCAGCUUUCAUCUUUUCAAAUUAAAUUUUAUAAUUAUAGUUUAUAACUUCCCAGUUUUAGGGGAAAAUAUAUCUCUUUGCUCCUGGUAAAGAUAAAAAGCACCAUACAUUUAACUCUAGCACAAUUUUCAAAGAAUAUGUUUUUUAAACACAACCCAUCUUUAAAGGAAUAGCCCUAUGAAUCUCUUGCAUCAAAACUGAGAAAGAGCCCUGUCACAUUUUAAAGAAUACAUUUACCAUUGUGUGAGGCUUCAUAAACUAGUUCACUUCUUUAAAUACAUGAAGUAUUUUAUAUACAUUCAAUUAUUAAAAUAGUUGGGUGAAUGGUUAUUGACAGUGAGAUUGCAGGGAAAGGAAAUCCAGAAAAAACCCCAAACAUUUCAGUGUAUUGCAGGCGAUGCAAUUGCCCUAGAUUCUUGACACAUUACAAGUGUUAAAUCAUUUAUCAAAUGCUAGAAUGUUGGUGUUCUGUAAAUACCUGGAUCUGAAUUUUUAUAGCUCAUGUUAUAAUAAGUUUGUUAAUCUGGCCAAUACAGCAUGGGCCACUAGUAAAUGAUGAAGUUCCACUAGUGUACUUAAGCUGGUAGUUCAGAUGGAAAAGGCGUCUUCUUCUGCAGAACAAGAGUUGAAUGGCUGUCAAGUGCAGCUCCACUCUUGUGGUCAUUGGGGUGUCUCAGUCCUGCCCAGGUGACAUUGUACAAUGCUGUUGUAAAGCUCAAAAGAUACAGAAUACUUCCUUGGUCAAUGUCCAAAAAUUGCUUACACUGAGGAAACAGGGAGUUACACUAGAGCAGUGUUUCUCAACCUGUGGGUCCCCAGAUGUUUUGGCCUUUAACUCCCAGAAAUCAUAACAACUGCUAAACUGGCUGGGAUUUCUGGGCGUUGUAGGCCAAAACACCAGGGGACCCACAGGCUGAGGACCACUGCACUAGAGUAACUCAUGAACAGAUCCUGGUCUUUGUUAUAUUACCCUGUAAUACUUAUCAAAUAUAAUCUAGGAAAGCAUUUGUUCUUAGUACAAGCAUGUAUACAGAAAAAUUUUAAUUCAAAUUUUCUAACAGAAUUAACAUUAUAGUUCCCUCUAUAACAUAUUGACAGCAGUGAACAUGUUGAACUGUACAGCACUUGUUCUUUUGUAAAGAAAAUAAAGCAUUGUAAAGCAUUUGUAAAGAAAAUAUUUUAAUUAAAAUGCUCUAAGACACACAAUAUCACCUUUCCUCCUCUACA
rnacentral:lncRNA from 1 species